AACACAAUGUCAAACAUGUCUUGA
rnacentral:siRNA from 1 species